AUGUUUUACAAAAGCGUGUAUGUUAACCGAGAUCAUUUCAUUCAUAUCAGAGGCAGCUUAUCGCAGCAUUAACGGCACGCGCCCCGAAGAGCAGCUCACUAUUUUAGAGCAUAUGAACAAGCUUUACGUGAAGAGCAAACACUCGAGAGAGUAAACUGCAAGGCGACCGAAACAGGCGCUCUGCGUGAUCAGCAACAGCAUCCCCUAACUCAGGAAA